AGUGUUAAUUUGUUGGUGCCAAAGACAGUAGGUAUAAAAAUAAAUCCUACCGAGGACAACGUUUCGUUAGAAAGUUCUCGAAGUCUUUUGAGAACUUUUUUGCACCUUCA
rfam:Clostridium sp. CAG:451 genomic scaffold, scf14